CCUACGGGCGGCAGCAGUGAGGAAUAUUGGUCAAUGGGCGCGAGCCUGAACCAGCCAAGUAGCGUGAAGGAUGACUGCCCUACGGGUUGUACACUUCUUUUAUAAAGGAAUAAAGUGAGUCUCGUGUGUCUUUUUGUAUGUACUUUAUGAAAAAGGAUCGGCUAACUCCGUGCCAGCAGCCGCGGUAAUACGGAGGAUCCGAGCGUUAUCCGGAUUUAUUGGGUUUCAAGGGGGCGGAGAGGGGUUGUUAAGUCAGUUGUGAAAGUUUGGGGCUCAACCGUAAUAGGGCAAUUGAUACUGGCAGCCUUGAGUACAGUUGAGGUAGGCGGAAUUCGUGGUGUAGCGGUGAAAUGCAUAGAUAUCACGAAGAACUCCGAUUGCGAAGGCAGCCUACUAAACUGCCACUGACAUUGAUGCUCGAAAGUGUGGGUAUCAAACAGGAUUAGAUACCCGAGUAGUC
rnacentral:rRNA from 1 species